UGGUCUUCGUUCUUCUUCAGUUACA
rnacentral:misc_RNA from 1 species